UUUUUAUCCAUGGCCCCUCCCGGCUCCGUAAUAAUCCUUAAAAGAAAAGUUUUUUUUUAAGAAUUACAGUUUUAGCUUAGCUUAGCUUAGCUUUACUUAAUUUACCAGCAUUUAACUUGAAAUUAAUGUCUUCUGAUGUUGGUGGCCAGCUGGGUAGUUACCACCCACCCCCACCCAGCGACAAGACCUGUAGAAUUAGGAGGAAAACAUGGCAACAUCCCUGUUCCUUUAAUAGUUGCAAUCAGGACACAGCUCUCAAAAGGGCUUCAUUUUAAUAUAUCAUGUUUGAUGUAAAUUAUUAGAAAUUUCAGCAGGAAAUAUUCUCUCAGCUUUAGAAGACUCCACUCCACUUUAUAGAAGCACUGCAAGAGUUGACACUGUGGAAUGAGGAGCGUUAGAAGUGUGGACGUUCCCAAGCCAUCUACUGAGUCGCUCCAAAGCCAAAGACAACCUUGUGAUGUUCACUGGGACUGCAGCCAAAAUAUGGCCUGCUUCAGCUGGGGCCAAAACCCUCCAGCAGGAGAUCGAAGGCACCUCUCUUUACCCACCGACCGGUCCAGCUGAAGUCUGCUCAGUCUGUCCGCCGUCGUUUGGCUCCCCGCGGGCAUGCUGAGAGUUGAGGUCAGGGGCUGAAAACUGUUGGAUCUUUGCGGCAGUACAUUCUCCAGCCUGGACACGGCUUGGUCUUGCAGGGCUACAAGGUUCUGGUGUCACAGAGAGCAGUCGCAUCUUAUGCGGCCAACUGCUUCAGACAACACUCGCUAAUCUACAGCGCGAUGACAGGUUGGCAG
rnacentral:lncRNA from 1 species